GCGCCAUUAGCUCAGUUGGUAGAGCACCGGACUCUUAAUCCGUCGGUCCAAGGUUCGAUCCCUUGAUGGCGUA
rnacentral:tRNA from 1 species